rnacentral:misc_RNA from 1 species
UUGAGAGCCGUGUCGUUCCUAAUCAUAUUCUCCAGCAAAAUUUUGUAGCAUCUCUCAUAGCUUCCAACAUCUUGAGCAAAAAAGAACAGUGCAAUAUUAUCUUCUUUAACACCAUACUCCUGAAAUUGUAUUGGCCAUGUACUCGAUCGUGAUACCUCAUUAAAGAGGACCUUUUGAGGAAAUUUGUGUACUGCGUCAAGAACAUUGGGUGAUGCACAACUUGAUAAAUGAGCCUGAAUUCCAUCACAUAAGUCAAGAGUUCUUCCACUCUUCUGAACCUCAAAAGCACCCUGCCAUAUAUAUUCAUGCUCUGGAAAUGCUGUCUUCGAAAGUAUCGACAUUGCUGCUUGUGAAUAUCUAUGUAAAUCAACAAGUGAAGAUUUUCCAUCAGACAGAAGAAUAGGCACCAGAUUCCCUGCUCCGGUAAGGGCUUCAGCAGGAAGCACUGACAGCUGCCUCAAGCUACCGAUUUCCUGUUUAUGAGAGCCAGUAAUAGAGUUUAAUGGCACCCCAUGGCCAUCCUCGUUGGAUGACAACAUUCUUCUGCUACUUGAACCACAUAAUGGAUCCGGAGCUGUUGUUUCAGCAUUUGUGUUUGACACAGCUAAAUCAUCAGAUUGAUCAACAACCCUAUUCUUCCAGCAUACUCCAGGCUUCUUUAGCAUAGCCGCCUCAAUUGCAGCUUUAAGAUUGCUCGUGCCAUUUGGGGCCUCUCUAG